CGCGGGAGAAGAUGACGUAUGGAUGCACGCUCCUCCGGGGGAGAUUGCUCCAAAUCCUUGGAUCAAGAGCCCAUCACCUGCCAGGUGUAUGCAUGUCACCGCUCUGGCCACAGCCAAUGAAAACGAGAGUUGCUAAGUUGGCGGAAAACAGAAGCCAAUUACAGCCUAGAUUUAACCUAUGACGUCACGGGUUCGAGCGCCAAAACCUAGCAGCCAAUCAGCAGUCGUGACGUCACUUGACGAGCCAAUCAAAGCGCACAGAGACUACUACGUCACAGUGGUGGUGUGGUGCGGGAGCCCCGUAUAACUUGCCUCAAGUCAUGCGCGGGAGAUGGCGUGAGGACGCGCGCUCCUCUGCCCACUGAAAGAUUUGGUUGAUGUCCGCCUGGAGCCUUGCAGUGUCUGCAAUGGAAGACACUGUCAUGCAGAUUCGGGUGUCAUCUGCAAAGGAAGACACUGUGCUGUGGCUGACAACCUUGUCUAUGUCGGAUAUGAGGAUGAGGAACAAGAUGGGAGCGAGUACUGUGCGAGUACUUCAGAUAUUUUAAGAAAUCUGAACUUCACAUCCCCAGCAAGAUAUUUGAAGUUCACAACCCCAGUAAGAUAUUUGAACUUCACAACCCCAGUAAGAUAAUUGAACUUCUCAACCUCAGCAAGAUAUUUGAACUUCUCAACCCCUGGAUGAUUUCAGUAGUAACCUCAUAACACUUAUUUUGGGCAAGUAGUUAGUUAAACCAAGACAACUAACAUGAAGUAAGUUAAUAUUUCUUCAUGUAUUCCUUGCUGUGUACUUUACCUUCUGUUAUAUUUAUUUUAUAUAAAACUGGUGUUUAUAAGAUUUAUAUUUUGGGAGCAUGUUUGUGUGUGAGUGUUGCUCAUACCUGCAUGCUGCUCAUACCAGGAUGCUACCCCUGGGUGCUGCACAUACCCGGGUGCUACACCUGGGUGCUGCUCAUACCUGGGCUGUUUAUACCUGGGUGCUGCUCAUAUCCAGGUGCUACACCUGGGUGCUGCUCAUACCUGGGUGCUGCUCACACCUGGGUGCUGCUCACACCUGGGUAGCACUUGGGCUAUCAGCCUGGGUAGCAUGGGCACUAUCAGCCUGGGUAGUGCUUGGGCUAUUAUCAGCCUGGGUAGCACUUGGGCUAUCAGCCUGGGUAGCACUUGGGCUAUCAGCCUGGGUAGCACUUGAGCUAUCAGCCUGGGUAGCACUGGGGCACUAUCAGCCUGGGUAGUGCUUGGGCUAUUAUCAGCCUGGGUAGCACUUGGGCUAUUAUCAGCCUGGGUAGCACUUGGGCUAUUAUCAGCCUGGGUAGCACUGGGGCACUAUCAGCCUGGGUAGCACUGGGGCACUAUCAGCCUGGGUAGCACUGGGGCACUAUCAGCCUGGGUAGCACUGGGGCACUAUCAGCCUGGGUAGCACUGGGGCACUAUCAGCCUGGGUAGCACUGGGGCACUAUCAGCCUGAGGCUACUGUCACCCUAGGUAGUACUGUCCUGCUUAAUGUAUGAAACUGCCUCUUGCAAUUAUUUAAGCUGCCAACCAUAUUGUUUUAAACCAUUUUAUACUGCCAAGCGUUUUAUAUCAUCUAAUGUUUUAUACCUUCUAAUGUUUUAUAUCUUCUAAUGUUUUAUAUCUUCUAAUGUUUUAU